ACGGCCGUACCAUGCUGAAUAUACCGGUUCUCGUUAGAUCACCGAAGUCAAGCAUCAUUGGGCGCGGUCAGUACUUGGGUGGGUGACCACCUGGGAACACCGCGUG